rnacentral:rRNA from 1 species
UAGGGGGCAAGCGUUGUCCGGAAUCAUUGGGCGUAAAGAGCGUGUAGGCGGCCUGGUAAGUCCGCUGUGAAAGUCCAGGGCUCAACCCUGGAAUGCCGGUGGAAACUGUCAGGCUCGAGUCCGGAAGAGGCGAGUGGAAUUCCUGGUGUAGCGGUGAAAUGCGCAGAUAUCAGGAGGAACACCAAUGGCGAAGGCAGCUCGCUGGGACGGUACUGACGCUGAGGCACGAAAGCGUGGGGAGCAAACAGG